rnacentral:lncRNA from 1 species
GAACAGGUUUGGCAGGACAUUUUAAGCUGUUCACGGCAGACAGCCUCUUCAGAGCCACAUCCCUGCCUCACCGACCUCCCAGCUGGAUGUUUCUCUCUGCCACGCUGGCCCUGGUGAGCUGCAGAGGAUGGACACGCUGCGAAGGAGCCUUUCUCGCUGGAAGAGGUACCACAUUAAGGUGCACCUGGCUGACGAGGACCUGAUGAUGCCCCUGACGGUCAAGCCCAGAGACACGGUGAUGGACCUACGGGCUCACUUAGUACGGGAGGGCGUCACUUCCUGGAAGAAGACAUUUUAUUACAACUCCAGGCAGCUCGAGGAGCACGAGACUCUCAAAGAAGCCAAUAUCCAGAAUGGCUCCGUCCUGCUUCUCGUCAGCAAUAAAAGAUAAUGCCAAAGAGCACAGCCAAAGCCAUGAGAGACGGGGAGCGUGACAAGGGCUGAAGGGAAGCAGAUGGAAGAGAGCUUGGCCGUGGAAAGGCAGCCCGGCCACCAGCCUUUGGUAAGUCCCUCCCCACACGCCAGCUCAAGGACUGUUCAGAAAGCAGCUCCGAGUGUUUUCAGCGCAGUACCCAUGAAUAAUUAACCCAAACAAAACAACAAAUAACGUUUCCUCAUCAGCGUGCCAUGUGGUCUCAGCUGCCAAAGGAGAAGCGUGGGUAAGACUGACUCAGCUCCUGAGGGCAGUGAAUCAGAGCGAAAUGCCCAUGAAAGGGUGACUUCUGCUGGGGUGAUGAAGCAAGAAGGAGCUGAGAUGGACUUUGCUUAGGGCCUUAGAUGGGGACACUGGACAUCUGAGACUCCUUCUGGCUCUCUCACAGGAUUUCUCAGUAAGUUGCUGAUCUUGGCCUUUGUUUUCUUACAUGUAAGUCUGAGGGAAUUUAUUCUUUUCUCCCACUCUUUGUCCAUCCAGUUGGAAGUGACUUAGGUCAGGGACGGUCUGGGCUCCUGAGAAGUUCCUGAGAAGGGCCCCCAUUUCUAGGUUGAAGGCUCCGUAUAACAAAUAAGCUGUAAGGACACUAUAGACAUUCCUGGAGCUCGAGAGCCUUUAUAUAUCCAGACACUGGUUGGUCACUGUUACGGCGACUACCUCACCUGACACUGGGCACCCAUUGUUACACCAAAACCACCUUAUUUUUGAGCCAGGGUUUGCAAGGCACCGCGUUGUUCUUCCAUCUGUGUGCCAGUCCCCCCACUCCAACAAUUUCUGAACCAACUGACCUGAUUCAACUCGGUUUGAUGGAAAGAGAGAGGUCUCACAGACCCAACUGCAAUUUUUGUGAAAAAAAGAGCAGCUGCAGAGAAGAGAGACAUUUAAGUUAAUAUCCUACUGAAGGAAAGGUAAUUACACCUCUUGUUCCCUAUCUAUUUGGAGAUGCAGCAGCCAGGUGACCAGCUGGCAUUUAGAUACUGACUGGUCAAGCAGUGCCUGCCCUGCUUCCAACCAGCUUCUGCUCUUGCAGUCCCUUGUCUGCAAAGCAAGAAGCUGUUGGAAGAGCUGAGGACUUUGCUGGGGAGGUCUGGAGGGGAUAAGGAUGCCCCGGGGGAUAUUACAGUGAGCUGGGAGCACCAAGAAAGGAAGAAAUAAAAAGCAGUUUUUUAAAUACUCA